GCAGGGCCCCCACGGGUUCCCGGACGAGGUGCGCCGUACCCGGAGUGCGACAAGACGGCGCCGA
rnacentral:ncRNA from 1 species